GCCGCGGUAAUACGAAGGGUGCAAGCGUUACUCGGAAUUACUGGGCGUAAAGCGUGCGUAGGUGGUUUGUUAAGUCUCGCUGUGAAAUCGGGGGGCUCAACCCUCACGACUGCAGGGGAUACUGGGCGGCUGGAGAUAGGUAGAGGCGAGCGGAAUUCCGGGUGUAGCGGUGGAAUGCGUAGAGAUCCGGAAGAACACCAGAGGCGAAGGCGGCUCGCUGGACCUCAUCUGACGCUGAGGUGCGAAAGCGUGGGGAGCG
rnacentral:rRNA from 1 species